rnacentral:tRNA from 1 species
GGGCCUCUAACUCAAUUGGUUUUAGAGUAUCCGGCUCAUAACCGGAAAGUUCUGGGUUCAAGUCCCAGGGGGCCCA